ensembl:lncRNA
CAGGUAGUGCUCGUUAUACAAAGUUUCAGACAUUGUUCAGAUGAGUACAAGUACUAGACAGAAGGGAUUAAGGAAAAGAAAGUUACGUUUGUUUUUUUCUAGGAUGCAGUCAAAUGUUGACGAAAGACAUGAGAUUUUUUAGCUGUCUCUUGAAUAUAUAUUAUUUAUUUAUUUUACUUUAUUUAUUAGAUAUAACAUUAAUUAUUAGGUUUAUUUACAUUAUUGUUUAUUAGAAUGUUACACACGCACACACACACACACACACACACACACACACACACACAUAGAUACUUUGAAAUUAUUUUUCUUUUAAUAAUGAUGACGAUGGAGCAUUGUAAAACUGCUUUAUUUUUAAUCGUGUGUGUAAAACUGCUCUAGUUUUAGUCGUGUAUGUAGGUUACUGUGGUUAAACUGACGGUUUUUGCUGCUCACACUUGCACAAUUUGGGUCAUUGUACACUCGACGCCCCAGAAGUGUUUGGAUUGGUUUUCCGCCAGAAUCCAGGAUCGCUUGAAUCCACGCCGGGUUUUCCUUCCGCCCGCAGCGUGUCUGUGGAAACAGAAAGAGCUGGAUGUAAUGUGACACUGGAGCCGAGAGAUCAUGAGAGAACACACCACACUUCAGCAGCGCCGCGGAUAAUAUCACUCCUCCACCGGCGGGAUUUUACCGGAAAGGCCUCAUUUCCUGAGGCUGAUCUGAAUCGGUGUCACAGAGGGAAACGUUCAGUUAUGAGUGCUCUCAGACACACUACUGAAUGAGUAUUUCAGAGCACACUUACUAAACACUGUUGCAAUGGUAGCGUGAUUUACAGACACAUUCAGCCUCACAAAAACGUGAGUGAACAGGACGGGACAACCUUGGUAAUGCAAUAGAUUUUUGGAUAUGGGUACCUUCCCAUGGUAUAUGAAUAUGGUACUUGUUCAAUAUAAUGUCAUAGAAUAUACUAAUGCUAAUAUACUAAUAUGCUUAUACUUAUAUAAUUAUGCUUAUCAUGCAGUGUGAUGGUGUAUGAAUAUGGUGGAAUUUGUCCAAUGUGAUGGUGUAUGAAUAUGGUGGAAUUUGUCCAAUGUGAUGGUGUAUGAAUAUAAUAAUCAUCCAGUGUGAUGAGGUACACCAUCAUCCAGUGUGAUGGUGUAUGAAUAUGGUGGUAUUUGUCCAAUGUGAUGGUGUAUGAAUAUAAUAAUCAUCUAGCGUGAUGGUGUAUGAAUAUGAUAAUCAUCCAGCGUGAUGGUGUAUGAAUAUAAUAAUCAUCCAGUGUGAUGAUGUACACCAUCAUCCAGUGUGAUGGUGUAUGAAUAUGAUAAUCAUCCAGCGUGAUGGUUUAUGAAUAUAAUAAUAAUCCAGUGUGAUGGUGUAUGAAUACGAGAAGCGUCCAGUGUGAUGGUGUAUGAAUACGAUAAUCAUCCACUGUGAUGGUGUAUGAAUAUGAUACUCGUUCAGCGUGAUGGUGUAUGAAUAUAAUAGUCAUCCAGUGUGAUGGUGUAUGAGUAUAAUAAUCAUCUAGUGUGAUGGUGUAUGAAUAUAAUAAUCGUCCAGCGUGAUGGUGUAUGAAUAUGAUAAUCAUCCAAUGUGAUGGAGUACGAAUAUGAUAAUCAUGCAGUGUGAUGGUGUAUGAAUAUGAUAAUCAUCCAGCGUGAUGGUGUAUGAAUCGAAUAAUCAUCCAGUGUGAUGGUGUAUAAAUAUGAUAAUCAUCCAGUGUGAUGGUGUAUGAAUAAGGAAUUUGUCCAGUGUGAUGGUGUCUGAAUAUGAUAAUCGUUCAGCGUGAUGGUGUAUGAAUAUGAUAAUCAUCAAGUGUGAUGGUGUAUGAAUAAGGAAUUUGUCUAGUGAGAUGGUGUAUGAAUAUGAUAAUCCUCCAGCGUGAUGGUGUAUGAAUAUAAUAGUCAUCCAGUGUGAUGGUGUAUGAGUAUAAUAAUCAUCCAGUGUGAUGGUGUAUGAAUAUGAUAAUCAUACAAUGUGAUGGUGUAUGAAUAAGAUAAUCAUCCAGUGUGAUGGUGUGUGAAUAAGGAAUUUGUCCAGUGUGUUGGUGUAUGAAUAUGCUACUCGUACAGCGUGAUGGUGUAUGAAUAUGUUAAUCAUCCAGUGUGAUGGUGUAGGAGUAUGAUAAUCGUUCAGUGUGAUGGUGUAUGAAUAUGGAAUUUGUCCAGUGUGAUGGUGUAUGAAUAUGAUAAGCAUCCAGCGUGAUGGUGUAUGAAUAUGAUAAUCGUCCAGCGUGAUGGUGUAUGAAUACAAUAAUCAUCCAGUGUGAUGAUGUACACAAUCAUCCAGUGUGAUGGUGUAUGAAUAUGAUAAUCAUCCAGUGUGAUGGUGUAUGAAUAUGGAAUUUGUCCAGUGUGAUGGUGUAUGAAUAUGGAAUUUUUCCAGUGUGAUGGUGUAUGAAUAUGAGAAUUAUCCAGCGUGAUGGUAUAUGAAUAUGAUAAUCAUCCAGCGAGUUGGUGUAUGAAUAUGAUAAUCAUGCAGUGUGAUGGUGUAUGAAUAUAAUAGUCAUCCAGUGUGAUGGUGGAUGAGUAUAAUAAUCAUCUAGUGUGAUGGUGUAUGAAUAUAAUAGUAAUCCAGUGUGAUGGUGUAUGAAUAUGAUAAUCAUCCAGUGUGAUGGUGUAUGAAUAAGGAAUUUGUCCAGUGUGAUGGUGUAUGAAUAUGAUAAUCGUUCAGCGUGAUGGUGUAUGAAUAUGUUAAUAAUUUAGAAAGUAUAAGGAUAUGCUAAUCAUUAGUAUAAUGGAAUAUGAAUAUGAUAAUCAUUCUGUAUGUAUUUUUUAGUUCUGCUGAAAUCCAUAUGCAGAGGUUUGUUUGUUUCCUCUAUUUGUCGUCUUUAUAAUUUUAGACGUGUUUUUUAGUUUCAUUUAUUAAUGUCAGUGACUCCUUCUGGUUGAAUGUUAUGAUUGUAAACGUCUUAAUCCAGCAUGUGUGUGUGUGUGUGUGUGUCACUCAGACGUCUGGAGGUUUAGUGUGCAUCUCGUCUGACAUGCCGUCUUGUUGUGUGAUGUAAUACAAACAAGCAGGAGUCGCGUGAUUGUGGAGGGCUACUGACGUUCACUAAACAGCAGGAAACACUUCCUCUGCUUCUCAGCAUGUUUCCCAUCGUCCUUUAGUCUGUGCCAGGGAUGUUUGUGUGUGUGUGUGUGUGUGUGUGUGUGUGUGAUGUCAUGUGGCCUGUCUGAGCACAUCGUCUGUUAGUUAUGCAAGUGUUCCAGCCGCUGCAGCCCGUAGUCUGAUAGUUGAGAGUACGCGAGAGAUCCCGCAUGUUUGCCAAACUACUGCUGGUGCAUUCUGGGAUGCUCCAGUCUGGCUGUCUGCAGUGGCACAUAUACUGUUCAUUUACACUAUAAAUAUCACUCACCGUUUGAGACGGAUGAUGUAAACAGGACGGGCUGCUGUAAUAUCAUGUGCUUAUGGAAUCGGCUCUCAUAUUCUGACCCGAUUUUAUUAUUUUACAGCAGGAAUGCUUCCUGCCCAAACACACACACACACACACACACACACACACACACACACACACACACACACACACACACACACACACACACACACACAUCUAAAUGUUGAAUAAAUAACAGUGCAUUUAUGUGCCUCUUUAUAUUGUAAAUAAUAAAGAUAACAUGCAAACUAAAGUAUGACAGGAUAAAUUACUAGAGAGGAACAUUUAGCUAAAUACUAUUAUUAAUAUAUUACAUAUUUAUUAUAUUUUUACAAGUUUAUUUUAAUGUUAAAUACACUAUUAUAGUUUCUGUUGAUAUUUUGAAUCAGACUUUUUUUAUUUCACU